GACAGAGGUCCCGAGCGUUAGGCGGAAUCACUGGGCUUAAAGCGUGUGUAGGCGGACUUCUAAGUACCUUGUGAAAUCCCACGGCUUAACCGUGGAACUGCUUGGUAUACUGGUUGUCUUGGGCCAUCUAGGGGCUACUGGAACAAACGGUGGAGCGGUGAAAUGCGUAGAUAUCGUUUGGAACGCCAAUGGUGAAAACAAGUAGCUGGGGAUGUGCCGACGCUGAGACGCGAAAGCGUGGGGAGCGAACAGG
rnacentral:rRNA from 1 species